rnacentral:rRNA from 1 species
AAUAGAUACCCCGGUAGUCCACGCCGUAAACGAUGAGUGCUAGGUGUUGGGGGGUUCCACCCUCAGUGCUGACGUUAACACAUUAAGCACUCCGCCUGGGGAGUACGGCCGCAAGGCUGAAACUCAAAGGAAUUGACGGGGGCCCGCACAAGCAGUGGAGCAUGUGGUUUAAUUCGAAGCAACGCGAAGAACCUUACCAGGUCUUGACAUCCUCUGACCACUUGAGAGAUCAAGCUUUCCCCUUCGGGGGACAGAGUGACAGGUGGUGCAUGGUUGUCGUCAGCUCGUGUCGUGAGAUGUUGGGUUAAGUCCCGCAACGAGCGCAACCCUUGACCUUAGUUGCCAGCAUUCAGUUGGGCACUCUAAGGUGACUGCCGGUGACAAACCGGAGGAAGGUGGGGAUGACGUCAAAUCAUCAUGCCCCUUAUGACCUGGGCUACACACGUGCUACAAUGGGUGGUACAAAGGGUUGCGAAGCCGCGAGGCCGAGCCAAUCCCAAAAAGCCACUCUCAGUUCGGAUUGUAGGCUGC